rnacentral:lncRNA from 1 species
UAAAUUAGUGAUCCAUAUGAAUCAACCGGUCUAGGAGAACUGGGCAAUACAUUAGCAACAUAUACCAUCAAUUUGUUUUGUGGGAUUCUUUAUUUUCACACGACCAAUAAUGUCAUGAGAGUUUUUAAUCGAUUUGAGAUAUGUAUUAGUGUUUUUUUUAUUGAGAGAAGCUUGUUAUGGGAGCCUUCUUGUCUGGAGCGUUUAUUGAUAGAUAUAGAGUUUUUUUUUGCGGGAACCAACUAUUUUUCAUCAAAAGGAGCAUAGAAGACGGAGACGAGUUUUUUUGGAGGACCUGAUUUCGUUCAUUAAAAGGAGCUCGCCACGAUUGUUUUUUUUCCUGCUCGGCAAUGGUCAGUACAUACCAUACGGAUGCUAGGAACAACACAUAGCGAGAGUUUUGUUGUCCAAGGAUGAGCUUUUGAUCCUAUAUUCCGUGGGAGCUAAAUUGUAUAUAGAUAACGAGAGCUUAAUUUUUUUUCUCAAGUGGAAGAACAUACCAUAGACAAUGAGGAAUAUAUGUUAUCAUCUAAUUUUGGGUUCAAUAAUUUUCUAAAGAUAGGUGCAAUUUGAAUAGUGCAACAUAUUACAUAUGUCAUAUUUCAGUGAAGAUGAUUUCACCACCGCUUCUCUUGAGAUCAUGCUCAUUCCUGCCAACCUUUUUGCAUGC